rnacentral:rRNA from 1 species
GUCUACGGCCAUACCACCCUGAACGCGCCUGAUCUCGUCUGAUCUCGGAAGCUAAGCAGGGUCGGGCCUGGUUAGUACUUGGAUGGAAGAAUCAAUUUGCAGGGGCACCUGGGUGGCUCAGUUGGUU